rnacentral:rRNA from 1 species
UACGUAGGGGGCUAGCGUUGUCCGGAAUCACUGGGCGUAAAGGGUGCGUAGGCGGGUCUUUAAGUCAGGGGUGAAAUCCUGGAGCUCAACUCCAGAACUGCCUUUGAUACUGAAGAUCUUGAGUCCGGGAGAGGUGAGUGGAACUGCGAGUGUAGAGGUGAAAUUCGUAGAUAUUCGCAAGAACACCAGUGGCGAAGGCGGCUCACUGGCCCGGUACUGACGCUGAGGUGCGAAAGCGUGGGGAGCAAACAGG